rnacentral:lncRNA from 1 species
AAAGAUUGAAACUUUCCAAUUUCAAAAUCUGAUUUUUUUGAAUCUUAGAUGACACACACACACACAAAACACAUAAAGAUUGAAACUUUUUAAUUUCAAAAUCUGACAUUUUUGAGUUUUGAUUUAAUUUUGGUGAAGAUGGGUUCAAAGAUGAAGCCAACAGUAUUCAACGAGAGAGUAGCAACAGCAUUAAAGAGUUGGCAUCACACAGCUAAGAAACAGAUUAAACAUGGAAGAACUUCAGAAUCAACAACACCUUUCUCUAGCCGACCAACAACACCAACACAUGGUUCUUCUCCGAUUCAUCUUCUCCGCAAUGCCCCUCACAAACGAAGCAGAAGCGUCGACGAAAGCUUCGCGAAUUCGAUGUCUCCAAGAAACUCUGAUUUCGAUUCAUGGGAUCCUGAAUCUCAACACGAAGCAGCUGAGACUUCGAAUUCAAAUCAUUGUUCUAGGGUUAGAGAAGAAGAGUCGGAGAAAAAGUUUGUUUCUUCAUCAUCUGUGGAACUUCCUCCAGGACCUGGACAAAUACGAACACAGCAUGAGAUUAGUACUAUAAGCUUAAGAGAUUUUUCGUUUAAACGAUGAUUUUAUAUUUCCUUAAUUGAUGAUUUGUUAAUACGAAAACAGUUGUUGUACAUUUUCAACAUUAUACAUAAAUAUUACUUUUUGUGGUAAUAAAAAUUUC